AUUGAACGCUGGCGGCAGGCCUAACACAUGCAAGUCGAGCGGAUGAAGGGAGCUUGCUCCUGGAUUCAGCGGCGGACGGGUGAGUAAUGCCUAGGAAUCUGCCUGGUAGUGGGGGAUAACGUCCGGAAACGGGCGCUAAUACCGCAUACGUCCUGAGGGAGAAAGUGGGGGAUCUUCGGACCUCACGCUAUCAGAUGAGCCUAGGUCGGAUUAGCUAGUUUGUGGGGUAAAGGCCUACCAAGGCGACGAUCCGUAACUGGUCUGAGAGGAUGAUCAGUCAAACUGGAAGUGAGACACGGUCCAGACUCCUACGGGAGGCAGCAGUGGGGAAUAUUGGACAAUGGGCGAGAGCCUGAUCCAGCCAUGCCGCGUGUGUGAAGAAGGUCUUCGGAUUGUAAAGCACUUUAAGUUGGGAGGAAGGGCAGUAAGUUAAUACCUUGCUGUUUUGACGUUACCAACAGAAUAAGCACCGGCUAACUUCGUG
rnacentral:rRNA from 1 species